UGGAGAUAUACCUCAUGUGACUGUCGCUGACUAACUGUGUUGCUGUAGUCGACCAGUAAGCUGCGGCUGCUGCUGCCGCUGGUCAUGUACAUGUUGAUGGUGGGGGUGCUUUUUCCUUCUGCCAAUCUUGAUGUGAACUAGAACUGGUGACACAGAUAGGGAAACACACAGUCAGACUGGUCGUCUUGUGCUUACAGAGCCAGGGCACUUUCACGGAUUUCAUCACGAUGGCUUGGAGAGGAGGGAGAACACGGCCGUUUUAUCGACCAACCCAUUAUUUAAACUAACGGCUGGUAUUGUUUCUGACACGAGGACUCAGAAGAAAAUAAAAGGUAAUGACCUGGAUGGUGCCAUGUGAAUGACUGAAGACCAUGAAGCCCACACACAAGCUGCUGUUCGUCCUGUGCCCCAUGCUGGUCCUGGGCUUUAUUUACUACUCCUCCGGGAAGCUACAUCUACACGUAUGGGGCCAGAAGCCUCAGAGUGAUGCAGAAGAGACAACUGUAGUCCUGACUAAAGGGGCUGAAGUGAAAAGAAUUCCAGAGUUGGAAACGGACAUCACCGUGGGACGAAUAGUAGGCUCAGUGUAUGAUAAGCAGGGCUUUCUGCUGCAGCUGGACACAAAACUGCCACCAGAGUUGGCAUACAAGUAUGGCAACCUCAGCGAAGGAGUGUGCAAGCCGGGAUAUGCAGCAGCCAAGAUGACUGCCAUCUAUCCUAAAUUCAUGAAACCAGCACCCAUGUUUCUUGAUCGGAACUUCAAACGUCUUGCAAAAGUCAGCAAUUACUUGCCUCCAUUUGGAUUCAAAACACAAGAGAGAAUCAUAGACAGCAUUUUAACUGCCACGAAAAAUUAUGGACUUGGAGAGGAGCUGGACAGUCUCAGCUGUAAGAGAUGCAUCAUUGUGGGCAACGGGGGAAUCCUGUUCAACAAGUCUCUGGGCUCCCGUAUAGAUGACUAUGAUGUCGUCGUGAGACUGAAUGAAGCCCCAGUAAGCGGUUAUGGCAAAGACGUGGGGACAAAAACCACCAUUAGGAUUACCUAUCCAGAGGGAGCAAUCCAGAAACCUGACAACUAUGAAAAAGACUCACUUUUUGUUUUUUCCGCUUUCAAACCGCUGGAUUUCAAGUGGCUCAGACAGAUGGUCUUCAAGGAGAAACUGAGAGGUACAGAGGGUUUUUGGAAGUCGGUGGCUCACUAUGUGCCUCGGGAGCCGACGGAGAUGAGAAUCCUCAAUCCCUACUUCAUCCAGGAGGCUGCCUUCCAGUUCAUAGGCCUGCCCUUCAACAAUGGCCUCAUGGGCAAAGGGAACAUUCCAACUUUGGGAACAGUUGCUAUAACUAUGGCACUGCAUAACUGCGAUGAGGUGGCAGUGGCUGGUUUUGGGUAUGACAUGAACAAGCCCCAUGCACCGCUGCACUAUUACGAGACUGUCAAGAUGUCCGCCAUUAAAGAGUGCACAUUUGUACGUUAUCAAGGCGAUCGGGUGUGACAUUCUCUCCAUGCUAAUGAGAACAAUGUUUUCUGGCUUCUCCCUGGCCACUGAAGAAUAACUGAAGAAACAAAUGACUGUAAUCUUUGAUGAGGAGGGACCGCCACUCCUGUGGAGGAGCGGUGAACUGGCCUACAGCCAAAAUACAUUCACUACAAGGCCUUCACCGUUUAGUCUGAUGUGGUAGGAGGUCCGACCCAGACAGGCCUAGUAAGGGAGGACAGACCAGAGGCAGCUGCAGGGCCCAACCUCCUGAAGCGCUCCACUUUUUUUUCUUCCUCCUAUUCCCUCCUGUAUGUUUCGUCCUCCACCCUUUUCCUCCUUCAUUUGCUCUCUGGCCGUUCCUUAGUCUCUGCAUCCCAAAGCACCACACAGGAACCACCGGCUCUGAUUACAUGUCGGCCCACCGGACUGGACCCUCACAGCACAGCAGGGAGGAAAGCUGACCCAGUGUGGCUUUGCUCGUAUAUAUGCACACCCACACGUAUAGACCCUGGGAAUAGGAAAACCCUACACUAACCCACAGGUUUCAGUGCAUAUAGCAAUGCUUUUGGAAUAAAUGCUCUUAAAUGUUGAAGUAUUCUCACAAUGAUCACAGGUUAUUGUUUGCAUCACUCUGGAUUUGUUUUUAUUUCUGAUUCUCCCACAGUCAUGGACACACAACAUAUCCAAGGAGAAGGAGUUCCUGCGCAAGCUGGUGAGGGCCAGCAUCAUCACAGACCUGACCAACGGUAUCUGAGUUUACAGCCACCCACAGUCUCCUUUUGCCUUUCCCAAAGGACUACAAAACAGGAAACUGAGAAAUGGACGACUCUGGGAGAAAGAACCUUUAGAAUCCGGGUUGCUUGCUCACUGUCUGGGUUUUUCAUAUCAAAGGAGAUUAUUUAAAUUAAAAAAAAAAAGAAGAAAAUAAAGGAAACAGAUACAGGAGGGUUUCUGUGGAGAGAUGCACACAUGUGCCUUCUGAACCAAA